rnacentral:rRNA from 1 species
AUUCCAGCUCCAAUAGCGUAUACUAAAGUUGUUGCAGUUAAAAAGCUCGUAGUUGGAUUUCUGUUAUUAAAAAUCGGUCGUGUCCUCACGGAUUCUGUACCAGGUUUCUUAAUUGCAUCUUCAAGGUUCUGGUAUCUGGUAUUAAUUUAUCGGGUAUUCGGUCCUUGUCAUUUACUGUGAGCAAAAUAGAGUGUUCAAAGCAGGCUUAGGCCAUGAAUACAUUAGCAUGGAAUAAUAAGAUAGGACCUUGGUCUAUUUUGUUGGUUUACAUUCCAAGGUAAUGAUUAAUAGGGAUAGUUGGGGGUAUUUGUAUUCAAUUGUCAGAGGUGAAAUUCUUGGAUUUAUGGAAGACAAACCACUGCGAAAGCAUUUGCCAGGGAUGUUUUCAUCG